UACGUAGGUGGCAAGCGUUGUCCGGAUUUACUGGGCGUAAAGAGCGCGCAGGCGGUCGUUCAAGUCGCGUGUGAAAGCCCCCGGCUCAACUGGGGAGGGUCACGCGAUACUGAUCGACUCGAAGGCAGGAGAGGGAAGUGGAAUUCCCGGUGUAGUGGUGAAAUGCGUAGAUAUCGGGAGGAACACCGGUGGCGAAGGCGGCGACCUGGGUCGAGACUGACGCUGAGGCGCGAAAGCGUGGGGAGCGAACAGG
rnacentral:rRNA from 1 species